rnacentral:misc_RNA from 1 species
GUAAAAUUUACUUUCCUAGUAUGUUAAAUUAUGAUUUAAUAUUAUAAAAAUAAAUUAGGUGAGUUAAAAAAUGAAAAGUACAUUACAUCAAUAACUUAGAGGUAAACAAAAAAUACAACUAAAGUACAUUACCAUAGCAACAUGAUAUAUCUUAUUGCGUGUUUUAUCUAUUCUUGCAUAUGAUUUUAAAUCAAAGAUUAUAUGUUGAAUAAAAAUGGGAGAUUUAAAAGCAACUACAAUAAAAGAUGCAAUAAAAAAUUGGGAAGAUGAAAAUAAGGAAUCUGCUAGUGAAGCUACAAAUAUUUGUUUACAAUUUCAGUGGCCACCUAUAGAAAAAAUGGAUAAUAAUUUAUCUGUUUUAACUAAAUGCGAGAAAUUAUCAUUAAGUACAAAUAUGAUUGAAAAAAUAAAUGGUCUUGCUGCUUUAAGACACUUAAAAAUUUUAUCGUUGGGGCGAAACUAUAUUAAAGCUUUUACUGGACUUGAACCAUUGGCUGAAACAUUAGAAGAAUUAUGGAUAUCUUAUAACUUUAUUGAAAAAAUGAAAGGUGUCUUAGGCAUGCGUAAACUUAAAGUUUUACAUAUGUCCAAUAAUAAUGUUAAAGAAUGGGCAGAAGUAAAUAAGCUUGCAGAAAUGGAAAAUCUUAAAGACUUUUUAUUUGAAAUCCACUUUACGAAUGUUUGGAUGAGUCUGUAUGGCGUAGUGAUUGUAUUAGAAAGCUACCUAAACUAGAAAUAUUGGACGGAGUACCAAUCAUAAGAGAAUAAAAUAUACAUCUCAGUUGAAAACUAGAACCACUUAAUUUUUUGACAAACCGUGUGGAAAUAAUAUGUGGAUGGAUCAUUAUAUUAUUAUAAAAGUGUCAUACGUCUGACGUCAUUUACGACGUGCACAUUAUUUAUUUAUUUAACGAAUCAGAAAUCAGACUAAAAGGCCUAAAUCNCAAUAUAUGUUAUAUUUACCCUCUUCCCGCUCUCACUCGCAGCCUCAUCCCGUCGUUUGACUCGUCACGUGUGUGACGUGCAGCCCUGUAAAGUAUUUGAGUANAAGUACUUUUUAAAUACUUUCAGCAUCAAG